GAUGAACGCUGGCUACAGGCUUAACACAUGCAAGUCGUGGGGAAACGGCAUUAUGUGCUUGCACAUUCUGGACGUCGACCGGCGCACGGGUGAGUAUCGCGUAUCCAACCUGCCCCUUACUUGGGGAUACCCCGUUGAAAGACGGCCUAAUACCCGAUGUGUUUCAUUGACGGCAUCCGAUAUGAAACAAAGGUUUUCCGGUAAGGGAUGGGGAUGCGUCUGAUUAGCUAGUUGGCGGGGCAACGGCCCACCAAGGCGACGAUCAGUAGGGGUUCUGAGAGGAAGGUCCCCCACAUUGGAACUGAGACACGGUCCAAACUCCUACGGGAGGCAGCAGUGAGGAAUAUUGGUCAAUGGACGCAAGUCUGAACCAGCCAAGUAGCGUGCAGGAUGACGGCCCUAUGGGUUGUAAACUGCUUUUAUGUGGGAAUAAAUUGGCGCACGUGUGCGCCAUUGCAUGUACCUCAUGAAUAAGGACCGGCUAAUUCCGUGCCAGCAGCCGCGGUAAUACGGAAGGUCCGGGCGUUAUCCGGAUUUAUUGGGUUUAAAGGGAGUGUAGGCGGUCUGUUAAGCGUGUUGUGAAAUUUAGGUGCUCAACAUUUAACUUGCAGCGCGAACUGUCAGACUUGAGUACACGCAGCGCAGGCGGAAUUCAUGGUGUAGCGGUGAAAUGCUUAGAUAUCAUGAGGAACUCCGAUCGCGAAGGCAGCCUGCGGGAGUGUUACUGACGCUUAAGCUCGAAGGUGCGGGUAUCGAACAGG
rnacentral:rRNA from 1 species